CAAGGAAAGCAAGGAGCUGCAGCCGGGGGCUUUGUGAGAGCCCUGUGUAGUCUACUCCUGUAGGAACCACCUUAGCUGGAAGCAGGGUGGUGAGCUGCUGGGGCUGGAUUAUUUGGGACUGAAAUGAAGCAGACAGGAGACAAAUCUGGGCUCAGGUGUAUGGCCCACAGCUUUAGAAAUGCUCUUCAACUGUCCCCCAGGAUUGAUCCAUAGGAGAGGCCGUUAUUCAGUCUAGUCAAAAAAAGAAAGCACAGGACUCCUGGGCCUAAGAACUGCAUCUGAAGCAGCCAGGCCUGGGGUUUUGCAUUGAGAUUAAAGCACAUUAAGCACAGGGGCUCUUACCUACUCUCCUGGCAAAUCGUCUCCUGUGCCACUGGCCUUGGGCUGCUCGAUCUCACAGACAGGGCAUUUUGAGUAGAGACAAGCUCUGGGCUUUGAGAGCUGAACAGCAUUUUUCUCCUGCCUCAUCAGUCACAGGGACUGGAAGUCCAUCUUGUUCCCUGAUCCUUCACAGAUCAAGGUGAUGCCUACCUCUUUGGAGCUGCUGCCUCUAGCUCUCCACGGCUGCAUGCUCCUCUGCGUGGCCCAGCCUUCACAGCACUCCAGAAGAAGCUGAUGCCCUGAGGCUGGGCACAGUGGAAAUCAUAAUAAAGCGAUUGCAAUGCUC
rnacentral:sRNA from 1 species